GGCCUCGUAGUUCAACGGAUAGAAUAAGAGUUUCCUAAACUUUAGAUCAAGGUUCGAUUCCUUGCGAGGCUA
rnacentral:tRNA from 1 species